AUGCCGCGUGAGUGAUGAAGGCCUUAGGGUCGUAAAGCUCUUUCGCCAGGGAUGAUAAUGACAGUACCUGGUAAAGAAACCCCGGCUAACUCCGUGCCAGCAGCCGCGGUAAUACGGAGGGGGUUAGCGUUGUUCGGAAUUACUGGGCGUAAAGCGCGCGUAGGCGGAUCGGAAAGUUGGGGGUGAAAUCCCGGGGCUCAACCCCGGAACUGCCUCCAAAACUCUCGGUCUUGAGUUCGAGAGAGGUGAGUGGAAUUCCGAGUGUAGAGGUGAAAUUCGUAGAUAUUCGGAGGAACACCAGUGGCGAAGGCGGCUCACUGGCUCGAUACUGACGCUGAGGUGCGAAAGUGUGGGGAGCAAACAGGAUUAGAUACCCUGGUAGUCCACACCGUAAACGAUGAAUGCCAGUCGUCGGGCAGCAUGCUGUUCGGUGACACACCUAACGGAUUAAGCAUUCCGCCUGGGGAGUACGGUCGCAAGAUUAAAACUCAAAG
rnacentral:rRNA from 1 species